rnacentral:rRNA from 1 species
GUGUCAGCCGCCGCGGUAAUACGUAGGUGGCAAGCGUUGUCCGGAAUUACUGGGUGUAAAGGGCGUGUAGGCGGGGAGACAAGUCAGAUGUGAAAUACCGUGGCUUAACUGCGGGGGUGCAUCUGAAACUGUUUCUCUUGAGUGUCGGAGAGGAAAGUGGAAUUCCCAGUGUAGCGGUGAAAUGCGUAGAGAUUGGGAGGAACACCAGUGGCGAAGGCGGCUUUCUGGACGAUAACUGACGCUGAGGCGCGAAAGCGUGGGUAGCAAACAGGAUUAGAUACCCUGGUAGUCCACGCCGUAAACGAUGGAUACUAGGUGUAGGAGGUAUCGACCCCUUCUGUGCCGCAGUUAACACAAUAAGUAUCCCACCUGGGGAGUACGGCCGCAAGGUUGAAACUCAAAUAAAUUGACGG